rnacentral:lncRNA from 1 species
AUGAUAGCUUUAGCUUGUCUACAUGUAGCCUGUGUGGUACAGCAGAAAGAUGCCAGGCAGUGGUUUGCUGAGCUUUCUGUGGAUAUGGAGAAGAUUUUGGAAAUAAUCAGGGUUAUUUUAAAACUAUAUGAGCAGUGGAAGAAUUUCGAUGAGAGAAAAGAGAUGGCAACUAUUCUUAGUAAGAUGCCAAAACCAAAACCACCUCCAAACAGUGAAGGAGAGCAGGGUCCAAAUGGAAGUCAGAACUCUAGCUACAGCCAAUCUUAA